AUGGAAGUCAACUCUCCGACAAGACAGUCAUUCCCCUCGGGUGGACAGAGGUUGAGAAAAGCUCCUGCACCCCUUUGGCAGGGACAGAUAAUAGAGAGGAACGAAUCGUCACCGCUCCCAAUCAUCCACGUGCUCCGUAUAGGGAUCAGAGUGGCUAGUGUCUCCAAGGAGGUGGGAGCAAAUGCGGAUGAUUGGCAUGCUGGUGUGUCUCUGCAUCCUUACUGUGCCAUUUUUGAUGCCCUGCCGAUCAUUUCGAGAACCAAGACCCUGUGUGCCAUCACAGUACCCUACGGAAUCUACUCGACAUAUGUCCCUUUGGCAGCUGGGUCCACAACUGUCCACCCAGCUUACGCCCGCACCUCGGCAGCUGAGCCACACUUCCCCGGGUCAGUGAGGACAGAGAUUGAAGUACAAUGA
rnacentral:lncRNA from 1 species